rnacentral:rRNA from 1 species
UACGUAGGGUGCGAGCGUUGUCCGGAAUUAUUGGGCGUAAAGGGCUCGUAGGCGGUUUGUCGCGUCGGGAGUGAAAACCAGGUGCUUAACACCUGGCUUGCUUUCGAUACGGGCAGACUAGAGGUAUUCAGGGGAGAACGGAAUUCCUGGUGUAGCGGUGAAAUGCGCAGAUAUCAGGAGGAACACCAACGGCGAAGGCAGCACUCUGGGCCGGUACUGACACUGAGGAGCGAAAGCGUGGGAGCGAACAGG